rnacentral:rRNA from 1 species
AUUGAACGCUGGCGGUAGGCCUAACACAUGCAAGUCGAACGCGAAAGUCCUUCGGGAGUGAGUAGAGUGGCGGACGGGUGAGUAACGCGUAGGAAUCUAUCCUGUAGUGGGGGAGUAACGUUUCGAAAGGAACGCUAAUACCGCAUACGCCCCAACGGGGGAAAGGCGGGGGAGUCUUCGGACCUCGUGCUAUAGGAGGAGCCUGCGUCGGAUUAGCUAGUUGGUGAGGUAAAGGCUCACCAAGGCGACGAUCCGUAGCUGGUCUGAGAGGAUGAUCAGCCACACCGGAACUGAGACACGGUCCGGACUCCUACGGGAGGCAGCAGUGGGGGAAUAUUGCGCAAUGGGCGAAAGCCUGACGCAGCCAUACCGCGUGUGUGAAGAAGGCC